CUCCUCUGGCGGCAAGCUCCUCCAUCAACGCUUUUCUUCCAGCUGCGAUCUCCUCCAUCAACGUUUUACUUCAAUUGAUGGAUCUGCUGUGUGAUUUUUUCUGCUCCACCGUGUUGUCCUAUGUGAAGCUUCUCCAUCUCCAUCUUUGUUGAAUUAGCUUUAUAUACAAAUCCACAUUCUCUUUUUUUAAUUACUCAUAUUUUGUUUUGCAAAUUGUUACUACUUCUAUUUCUGUAAUUUUAGGUUUUGAUUUUCUUCCUUGUUAGCAGAAAUUGGGGGUAAGGUCUUCAUGUAAUUUCUUCGAUUUUUUCUUACAUGCUUGUAUACAAAUUUGCAUUCUCUUCGCGGUUUUGAUUUGUAAAUAUGCUUUCGGUUGGUGCUUUACUGAUUUGCAUAGCACGUGUUUGAUGAAUUGCUUGAAUGCUUAUUUUUUUUGUCUAUGCAUUUAUUCAAUCAUUGUUGUAUGUGACAUAUCUCUUUUGCAGACAAAUUAACAAAUUCUUUUAUUAGCUUGAAACUUGUUUUUGUUCUUUGUUAAGUUAUUUACUUUAGAGAACAAUGAAGUUGUUAACAAUGAGAUUGUUUUCUGUGCAGAUGAUGAAGAUAAAUUGAUUUGGAACUAUUUAAAAGAUGGAAGCUACCUAAAUAAGAACCACUUGAAGAUAGACAUCAUCUUUUCGUUCAUCUAUUUACUGGAUUGGAUUGGAAAGAAACAAAUGCUUCUCUUUUGUGUUGCCCCUUGUGCUCUUGUCUGCUCAUUAAAAGGGACCCAUUUAAAAAGAAGUCACUUUUAGAUAAUUGAGUUAUUCACCAUGUUUCCACAAUUAAGAGUUUAAAACUAUAUAUGGUACUUUCCUAGCUCACUGAUGGUGGUUUCAAUUUGCAUUGUUGGUCCAUGUUUAGACAAUUUUAUAGGAUCGGAGGAAGCUGAAAACUGCAAGUAAAAAUAAUUGUUAAAAUAAAAUUGUUAAAUAAAGUACAAGAAAGAUGAGUUUGAUUUUGAUUGUACAAGAAAUUGUUAAAAUUUCAAGGUUAGGUGGAAGUAAUGAAGAAGGGGUUAUUCAGUUUCAACAAGUAAUAUAAGUUGCACAAGAUAAAUGGUGCAUAUAUAAAUAUUUUACAAUUUUCAAAUCAUGUAGGAAUUUGAUCACUAUGGACAUUUAAUUAUGUGCUGGCUGGUAAUAAACUUUGUAAGGGUUGUUUAUCACUAUUGCACACUUUGUUAGUAGCGGUGACAAUGAACCAUCCAAGAGUAGAACCAUGUGCAGGAUUCACGGCCGGUAAAUUAAAAAAAAAUAUUGAGAGUCUUAAUUUAUUUUCUAAUUGUUUUUUAAAUUUUGCAAUUAAAAAAAUUUUGAACUUUUGUUUAUCUUUUUAAUAUUUUGAGAGUGCUGUUAGGAAUCAUUUUGAGGAGGCAUGGUGUUGGUGUUUGAAUAUGGAAGAGAAGAGAAGAUGAAAAAAAUGAAUAAUUGAAUGAAGGAGAAAACAGAGUCAAAUAUAAGAGGGAGAAAGAAAAAAGAAAGUGUAUUUUAAAAUUCUAAAUCAAGUUGUGGUAGCUAGUUUUAGUUUACCAAAAACAUGACUAUCACGUUACUUCCAUGGUUCCAUGGCUUUCUUGCUAGUGCUCACUUAGUGUGGUUUUUUCAUCCCUUGUGUUAUAGGUAUAUAAAAAAAUACUUUCAUGUAUAUUUCACUUGAUUGAUUUCAUGUUAAAGCUAGCAUUAGAUGUAUUUCUUUUUUAACUUUCUUGAAGUUGUAUCUUUUAAUUUUGGAUCAGCUAAUAGAUGUUAUUUUUCUCUUUAUUUUUGCUGUAAUUAUUGAAUACCACUACAAAAAAAAGGGCACAAAAUGGCAGCAACAUAAUGGCGGUUCUAUAUUAUUGAACUGUAUGGACUUGUCAUUCAACAAAGGUUUAAAAGGUCCUCUAUCUCCAGAGAUAGGAGACUUAAGCAAUCUGAAUAUACUCAUCUUGGCUGGUUGUAGCUUCAGUGGCAGCAUUCCAGAUGCAUUGAGGAAUCUUGCACAGCUAUCCUUCUUGUUUGUUCACUGGUAUUGACGAUCCAUAUGAACCAGCAAGUAGUUAUGAAGUAUGUAUUUCAGUAUUUAUAUGUAGUUGUUAUGUUGUGCGUAUACUUGGUAUCUUUGAAGGAGGAAAAUACUAAUUAGCUGAGAAAGCACUUCAAAUGCACUUAGUCCUUUUUCAUUCUCUGCACCAGCAAAUUCUAGAUUUGCCUUUAAGAAUAUUGAUGUCACAGCUGUGGUGUCCAUGAUAAAACAAUUAAGGAGAAUCCAUAAGGCACUGGAAUUACUUGGGUGAUCUUGCUUGUUUACAAAGGAUUGUAUGGCGAAGGUGACUCAGUGAAGCAAGAGUUUGCAGCAGCUUCUAGUUACUAUUUACAAGCUAAUUCUCUAUGGCCUUCUAGUGGAAAUCCCCAUCAUCAGCUUGCCUUAUUGGCUUCAUAUUCUGAGGAUGAGCUGGCAGCUGCUUAUCAUUAUUUUAGGAGUUUGGUUGUGGAGAGUCGAUUUUCAACUGCCAAAGAUAAUUUGAUUGCUGCAUUUGAGAAGCUCUACUUGCAACUUCUUUACCAAUUCGAGCAAUUGUACUUCUACAGAGCUCCUACAAAGAGCAGCAAGACCACAGGUUUGCACAAGAGGAAGCAAAUCUCAUCCGAAACGACACGUAUGUUACUUUAUGCAAUUUAAUCAGCACUAAAAUGUGUUUGUUGAGUUGAAGCUUUGAAGGGAAGGAUUCUUAGUACCAUAGUAAAAACAGCACUUAUUAGAUGGUUUAAAUACAUUAUUAGAUAUUAACAUAGUUUAGAGAAUUGGAUGGUAGAUUUGACUGAUUAGUGUUUAUUGCAAUGCUUGUAUUUUGCUAAGUUUAGUAAGAUAAUGUUUUGUAUAGGAGUUAUUACUUCUGAUUUUCAAUAAUAAAAAAUUAUAUAUUAUAUUAAUAUUUUGUUUAUGAGUUAUAUAAUAUUUUAUUUAUGGAUUA